AAGAAUGUUUAAGGCAUAUUGAGCCCGCUCGUGAAUAGAGAAAAUGAGCCCGAGUUCAAAUCAUCUAACCGAUAACUAAAAUUAAGAGUUUUUGACGGACAGGAUCCUUUUGAUGCACAUCUUAAUUAAUAAUCAUAAGUUCAUAACAAUGAAUCGCCAGUUUUAAUCUCAAUAUACCAAAACGGUGUCGUCCCCGCCCAAACGAAGGCAGACUCGAACUAAAAUUACAAACAAAAUAAAAUUGGCCGCUCUUAAUUAGGAGCUACUCCCAACCAACACGACGUCCCUAUGGAAGAAGAAGAACACUGCCAAGGACACGAAAACAGGGAGAAUCAACAUCACUCUCCCAUCCCUCGCCGGCGGCGAGAACGCCGUCAUGGUCCCAUUUCUUGGGCGGGGACUCUCUUCCUGAAUUGUCUCCAAGCAUGGUGGCCCACACGAUGAACGCUGCUGGAGUACUCGAGAUUUCAAGAGCGCUGGAGCCACUUCCCGCCGCAUCGAUCUCACCCCCUUCACCAUUUUUUUUUACCCGAAUUGUUUAGAUAGCGAGAGAUAGAUCGGGGGUAAGCCCGGCCUCCGCCUGAAAGUUUGGGACUGAAGAUCGUCGGAUUAAUUGAGGGAGACGACUCAUUUGCUCGGAGCCUAGGCCUCCAAUAUAUAGUUAUUUCUGAUUUUCUCUUCUUUGCUAUAAUUAUAUGAGUUUUGAAAAAUAGGAUAACUGAAUCUGCGGAUUCGAUUGUCUCGUAGCUAUUUUCAGUUUGAUCAACGGGCUUAACUGUUGCCAUGUGGUUGGAUAUCGAAAUUGUUCUAUUUGUCUAAUUAGUUACACGACAUAAUAAUUAGUUAUUGUGUCGUAUAAUUAGUUAGAGACGAUUAUAAUCACGAUAGUCUAAAAUUUAGAAUCGGUGUUUCGAUUCUAUGUGUUUGAAACUCUUCAACAUUUUCUCUCUUUUUUUUUCAUGAUCA
rnacentral:lncRNA from 1 species